AAGUCUGGGGACUGCUUGCGAGGCGCUUGGCCAUGGACACGAUCUUGCCUUUCAACUAUGUCUCGUAUGCAAAUGUCCUGGAGGUCGCUGUAAAGGAUUUGGAGGCCAGGUUCCUGCUUAUUUCGGGUCAUCCAGUUAAUAUACUUAGCCUCAGCAAGUCGCGCGACGUAAAUUUCUUCCCACUUCAUUCUGUGGUGGAUCAACUUCGUGAACU